GUUUUUUUACAAUGUUGCGUUGAGCAACAGUCAAACGAACGCGACGACUUUCCAGAUAUCUUUACAAAGUAUAUUUAUUGCCGAAAGCUUAACUAACGGUGAAACAAGUAAAAAAACUUUUGUCUCGUCGUACGGUUGGAAAGAAAAGAAUCGCUGCCGCACUCUGUUUCUUUCCGUACACCCGCCUUAUCCUUUCUGUUCACCUUAUCCGUGUGUUAUCAAUUAUCCGUGUGUUAUCAAGUAUCCGUGUGGCAUAUUUUACACCGGGCAGUCAUCAAUACGCGUUAAUAUCAUUACAUCGGACAGUUGCCAAACUCGUCGCAACACUUGAUGAUCACAAGCUGGUUUUCUUGCAGUGACACCGAUUGCCCGUUGCAAUGUUUGGCUCGCGCUUGCAGUUGUUGCAGAUACUCCGGAUACCAUCUAGCCCAAAUGUUUUGCAUGUGUUUCUGCACCAACUGGAACUCCUUCAAUCGAUUGUCUGGUGUUCCGGUGUGAUCGACGUCUGGUACCGCUUGCAUAUUAGAGCCGAUGAGAAAGUGUCCCGGCGUCAACGGUUCUAAAUCAGAAGGCUCAUCUGAUAAAGUAGUUAAUGGUCGAGAAUUCAAACACUGUUCCACUUGUGCCAGCAGGCUGCCUUCACCGCUGCCUCCCAUAAACCUCCGAAGUGUGGUGCCCGUGGAGGGAUAAAUUUCCAUUGGAUUUCGUUCGUCGCGUACCAAUUGAAAAUAGUAAUACGAUCGUUCUCAUCGCAUUUGAGCAUUUUGUAAAUGCGGUUCAGCUCGUGCGAUGCUCCCUUAAAUGUAGUGGCAUUAUCUGAGUGUAGCUCACUAAUUUGUCCGCGACGUGCAACUAAACGGCGUAGUGCAUUUAAAAAUGAUGUGGUGGUGAGAUCGGCUACGAGUUCAAUAUGAACGGCUCUUGUAGAAAAGCAUACAAAUAUCGCAAUAUAUGCUUUGAUUGGA